UUCACAGCUUUAAAAUGAUUUUAGCUUGUACACUUUUAGCAGUUGUUUUAUAGGUAUUUUAAUGGAAAAUUAAUGGGGAUAAUUUUAUCUGAUUCUGGAUGACUGUUGCCCGUGCACCGUCAUCUCUCUAGGGAGAUGACAUAUUUUCUUAUUAACCUAACUUGGCCAGAGCCUUUCAUCUUUUUAGGAUUUCCCCAUUUUUAAUUGACUUUUAACCUAUUUUUAAUUCUAUGAGAAACGCAUGUUGAACUGCGGCUCCUUUAAGAAGAUAAGAAGGGCGGUACUCACCUGUUUCAACUUCCUGGGAAGACGGGGUUUCCUGAGUAUUUAAAGCCCCUGCUAAAGGUGAUCAAGUCAUUCCUCUGAUGAAGCCUACACAGGCGAAACGUCAGGAUUCUGCCUUUUGGACUCCCUGAAAAACUUUUUUUGAUUUUUGAGUAGGUCAAAAACCUUUUUGGGAACCUUGGCUUGAGCUGGCAGUCCUUCCUGGGAAAGGAUUCACCUCUUGAUCUUCACUAAAAGACAAAAAAACGCAUGUUGAACUGCGGCUCCUUUAAGAAGAUAAGAAGGGCGGUACUCACCUGUUUCAACUUCCUGGGAAGACGGGGUUUCCUGAGUAUUUAAAGCCCCUGCUAAAGGUGAUCAAGUCAUUCCUCUGAUGAAGCCUACACAGGCGAAACGUCAGGAUUCUGCCUUUUGGACUCCCUGAAAAACUUUUUUUGAUUUUUGAGUAGGUCAAAAACCUUUUUGGGAACCUUGGCUUGAGCUGGCAGUCCUUCCUGGGAAAGGAUUCACCUCUUGAUCUUCACUAAAAGACAAAAAAACGCAUGUUGAACUGCGGCUCCUUUAAGAAGAUAAGAAGGGCGGUACUCACCUGUUUCAACUUCCUGGGAAGACGGGGUUUCCUGAGUAUUUAAAGCCCCUGCUAAAGGUGAUCAAGUCAUUCCUCUGAUGAAGCCUACACAGGCGAAACGUCAGGAUUCUGCCUUUUGGACUCCCUGAAAAACUUUUUUUGAUUUUUGAGUAGGUCAAAAACCUUUUUGGGAACCUUGGCUUGAGCUGGCAGUCCUUCCUGGGAAAGGAUUCACCUCUUGAUCUUCACUAAAAGACAAAAGUAAGGUGUGCGCACACCCCUUUGAGGGUGACAUCCUCUCUCGGGAGGGGUUUUACAGGUGUAGAAAAACGUCCAAAACUUUAUCUGGCAACUUUUUAGCCUGGGUAAUUUUUCUUACCUGGCAACCAGGAGCUUUUUUAUCUCAAAUUUUAGAAACGGGAAGUCCAAAAAGGGUAUUUGUUUUGAGCUGUGUUGAAAGAAGUGGCGACUAAAAGCGGUGCCCACUCACGGUGAUAGGCUUCUCUUGGGCCACGUGACAUUUUUAACAAAAAUUAAAUUUUAAUCCAAUUUCUUCGACGACAUGAGACCGUCCAUGCAAGUUGGUCAGGCGCAUUCCCGCCAGUGGCAGGAUGAAAGGAAUUUGAGGACUGGAUUCGUGGCGAUUCGGAUGAUGGGCCAGGGGACGAGUCCUCGGUGGAGGGGUCGGUCGAUGCGAUGAGCCCAGACACCUACGCACAAGUCGCCAAAAGAGGGCUUGACUCACAGGUGUCGAGCCGACAGCGACCUCUGGAGGCUGAAACCGGUCAACGGGACCGACCGACUCAAUCGGAGCUGAUUACGGCCCAGGCUCAGGGAUUCGUUGCCGCAGCAACAGCAGCGAAGAAGAGCCCCCUUUAGAGGCCAAGCAGCAGGAGAGGAGGGAGAGCGACAGCGCCAUCAACCUGCGUCUCUUCGUUCGGAAAUGACAGAAACUUGUUCAACAUUGAAUAAAUCUUUGAAUAAAAUCGACAAUAAACGAUCUGGGUAUUUAAAAUCUAAUGACGUGAUCCUGCCUUUAAAGAAAGAAUUCGAUAUCAUCCCGAUAUCGACCAUACCAGUUCCAGCUCAAGUACUCACCGAUUCAUCACAGUCGAUACCGCCUUCAAUCAUUACCGAUCCAUCACGGUCGAUACCGCCCUCAAUAAUUACCGAUUCAACACGGUCGAUACCGUCUUUAAUAGUUGCCAACCCGGUAUCAUUACCAAUGACGAUCCAAAAUGAUAUCAAUCCGGCCCCAUUGGCUUCAACACAGGUUUUUACAACCGUGGAGCUGAGAAAGGACAAAAUGUCUAAGGAAAUGAAGUCUAUUAGUACAUUUGUUCCCCCUCAAUAUGGUGGGCAUGUUGG